rnacentral:rRNA from 1 species
UACAGAGGUCUCAAGCGUUGUUCGGAUUCAUUGGGCGUAAAGGGUGCGUAGGCGGCGCGGUAAGUCGGGUGUGAAAUCUCAGGGCUCAACCCUGAAACUGCACUUGAUACUGCUCUGCUUGAGGACUGGAGAGGAGACUGGAAUUCACGGUGUAGCAGUGAAAUGCGUAGAUAUCGUGAGGAAGACCAGUGGCGAAGGCGGGUCGUCUGGACAGUUCCGUGAACACUGAGACACGA